rnacentral:rRNA from 1 species
GAUGAACGCUGGCGGCGUGCCUAAUACAUGCAAGUCGAGCGAACAGACGAGGAGCUUGCUCCUCUGACGUUAGCGGCGGACGGGUGAGUAACACGUGGAUAACCUACCUAUAAGACUGGGAUAACUUCGGGAAACCGGAGCUAAUACCGGAUAAUAUAUUGAACCGCAUGGUUCAAUAGUGAAAGACGGUUUUGCUGUCACUUAUAGAUGGAUCCGCGCCGCAUUAGCUAGUUGGUAAGGUAACGGCUUACCAAGGCGACGAUGCGUAGCCGACCUGAGAGGGUGAUCGGCCACACUGGAACUGAGACACGGUCCAGACUCCUACGGGAGGCAGCAGUAGGGAAUCUUCCGCAAUGGGCGAAAGCCUGACGGAGCAACGCCGCGUGAGUGAUGAAGGUCUUCGGAUCGUAAAACUCUGUUAUUAGGGAAGAACAAAUGUGUAAGUAACUAUGCAAGUCUUGACGGUACCUAAUCAGAAAGCCACGGCUAACUACGUG